AUGAGCAUCGAGUUGUUAAAACGCAUUGCAGAGAAACUGGCGAGCCAUGAUCGGUUUUUUCAGCAAAGGAGGAAUGUCGCCGGAGAAGAACUCGGGCAUAACACCUUUCAAAAGGUGACAAGCGCUUUGUGUAUGUUGGCAUAUGGUAUUCCGGCUGAUCUAGUUGAUUACCACUUGGCCAUGGGUGAGAGUCAAGCCAUCAUGUGUGUCAAGCGCUUCACAGUCGGAAUUGUGCAAGUGUUUGCUCCAGAAUAUUUGAGAGCUCCCAAUGCUGAACACACAUCAAGGCUUUUGGAGAUGAACAAAGCUCACAGGUUCCCAGGUAUGCUUGGCUCAAUAGAUUGCCUGCAUUGGAGUUGGAAGAACUAUCCUAAGUGUAGGGGAAUGUAUUAA
rnacentral:rRNA from 1 species